AUUGAACGCUGGCGGCAGGCUUAACACAUGCAAGUCGAGCGGAGACUUCGGUCUUAGCGGCGAACGGGCGAGUAAUACCUAGGAAUCUGCCUAUUAGUGGGGGAUAACGAAUCGAAAGGUUCGCUAAUACCGCAUACGUCCUACGGGAGAAAGGGGGGAGUCUUCGGACCUCUCGCUAAUAGAUGAGCCUAGGCCGGAUUAGCUAGUUGGUAGGGUAAAGGCCUACCAAGGCGACGAUCUGUAGCUGGUCUGAGAGGAUGGCCAGCCACACUGGAACUGAGACACGGUCCAGACUCCUACGGGAGGCAGCAGUGGGGAAUAUUGGACAAUGGGGGCAACCCUGAUCCAGCCAUGCCGCGUGUGUGAAGAAGGCC
rnacentral:rRNA from 1 species